AUUGAACGCUGGCGGCAUGCUUUACACAUGCAAGUCGAACGGUAACAGGCCUUCGGGUGCUGACGAGUGGCGAACGGGUGAGUAAUGCAUCGGAACGUACCCAGAGGUUGGGGAUAACGCAGCGAAAGCUGUGCUAAUACCGCAUGUGAUCUGAGGAUGAAAGCGGGGGACCGAGCAGCAAUGUUUGGCCUCGCGCCUUUGGAGCGGCCGAUGUCGGAUUAGCUAGUUGGUGGGGUAAAGGCCUACCAGGGCGACGAUCCGUAGCUGGUCUGAGAGGACGACCAGCCACACUGGGACUGAGACACGGCCCAGACUCCUACGGGAGGCAGCAGUGGGGAAUUGUGGACAAUGGGCGCAAGCCUGAUCCAGCAAUGCCGCGUGCGGGAAGAAGGCCUUCGGGUUGUAAACCGCUUUUGGCAGGAACGAAACGGUGUCCGCUAAUACCGGGCGCUAAUGACGGUACCUGCAGAAUAAGCACCGGCUAACUACGUG
rnacentral:rRNA from 1 species